UUCACUCCAAUUAAUUUCCAAUGAUGACAAUGAUGGAAUAUAGAUGAAUAAUCUUGAAUAUAUGUUGAUGAAUGUGAUAGAACCUUGAAGUAAAAUGAUGAAUAUAUGUUGAUGAAUGUGGUAAACCUUUAAGCCAUGAAACUUGAUGAAAUCUUGGAUGAUGAUGAUGAUUGAAUAAUUAUUAGAUGUAGAAUAUAACAUUUGCACUUGAAUAUGAAUAACAUUGAGAUGAUAACACUUGAAUUUUGUUGAUUCUUGAAUGAUGAAUACUUGUGAAAUUGUUGUAUUUUGUUGAAUUUUGGAUGGAGGUUUAGUUUCACCAAUCUAGAAUUUCCAUUUUUGUAAUUCUAGAUGGUGAUGGUGAUGAACUUUAGUGAUGGUUAGGGAUGAAGAAAGUAAUGGAAAAUUGAGAGAGUGGAGAAAAAUGAAAGUACGAAAAUGGUGAAAAUAGUUAAAAUGCUUAGGUCUCCAAAAUUAUGGAAAUGGAGGAUUUUUAUAAUUUUUGUGGGUGGUUGUGAACCUUUAGAUUGUGAUCCAAGUUAGAAGUUUAUCAAUGGUCGAAAAGCAAUUAGAGGCUUAGUUGCGGAUCAUUAACCCUAGUCGUUGGAUGAAAAGUUAUCAAUGGUGGAGGUAUAGUAGAAAAUUGGUUUGAUUUUGUGUUAGUUUAAAAACUUUAAGGAAGUUGAAGUUAGUUAAGGGUAAAUGUGUAAAUGCAUGAGUUUGAGAAUAAAUAGGUAGUUGAAGGAAGUUAGAGGGAAGACAUGUUGAGGUUUAGCAUAAAUACCAAGUCUCAAUGUAAGACUAAUGGUCACUUGAUCUAAACUUGAAUUUUGCUUUGUAUUUCCUUAUGAAUUUACCUUUGAAUUCACCACUUUUACUUUGAAUUUUUGUGAAUUAAGUCAUUCCUUUGAAAAUUCUUUUUUGAGAAGUGAUUUUGUUGGAAAUAAGUGCUUUUGUUGGUGGUCAAAUUCUGACUUUUUACUUGAGAAGUACAUAAACCCCCUAAACGCGAGGCCUGGUAAGGGCGAUAUGCUUAAGUUUAUCGGUUGGUAGAUUAUCCGAGAUAUGCAUUCCGAACGUACAUAAGUCCUAAAGUAGUUUAUCGGUUGCUUUAUUUUACUGUAUAUGUGAGAUCUUAUUUGUUUUGAUACUAAACAGUGAUGCUUUGUAUCCGUGUUAUUUUGUGUUUGUUACAUUCUUUCUAAAGUAUUUCCUACUAAAUUAAGUUGAUAAAAUGGACACUUAUAUUUUAUUUUUUAUGUUGAGAAAUGAGAAUCAUAACAAUCUGUUUCUCUACAUAUUUCAAUUUAUUUAUGUUUUUCAAACAAUUUUAGAUGAAAAAAAUGCAAUAUAAUACAUAUAUCAUUUUCUCAUAUAUCAAUAGCAUACUCGAAAUUUAACUCACUAAUCAACAUUUUAUUUUUAUUAUAAGAAAUAUUUUGAAAGAUAUGGAUUUAAAACUUAUUUUGAAUUAAAAUUUUUAACAACACAAGAAUCACACCAAAUAAAUAUAUUUAGUUAGCUGAGUAUAUUUCCUAUAAUUUACCACCACUUCUCAAAAGACAAGAUCUUGUAUUGAGUUUCUAUUUGAGGUCACAAGUUCAAAUUCCAACAAAUACAAAAAUAUAUUAUUUCAAAUAUUAUUUUUUUAAACAUUAAAAUAAUAAAAUUUAAAAUUCAAUAGUGAUAUAUGAUUUAUAUGAAGCAAAUUUACUUACUAUCCUACUUGGUUAUCUAAACUAAACAGCCCAUGUGAGUUGUGAGCAGAUAAUCCAAUACACCACUUACUCCUAUGUACUUUUCAUACAUUACUUAAUACUCCACUAGUCUCGUUUCCCUCGAAGAAUCUGUUUUUUUUGUUCCGUACGUAGUUGUUUAAGGAGACCAAUAAUACUCCACUAUUAUUUUAUUUCUAUUUAAGGGAACAGUUCAAUGAAUUAUAUUUCCAUGACAGUGAAUUAUUAAAAUAAUUAUUAAUUUAUUUUGGUUGACUGUCACUGUAGCUUUUCUUCUAUACAUUGCAACUUGCAUCAAGUUACAAGUCUUGUUAACUUGCAUUUCCUUGCAUUGCAUUUUCUUUCCACUUCAAUAUUUCAAACUAUUCUUACUCGGUUGAACUAAGUUAUGGCUGCCAUUGUUGGAGGAGCACUUCUUUCAGCUUCCAUGGAGAUGCUGGUGAAAAAGGUUGUUUCUGGUGAGUUUAUUGAUUUGUUUCGGAGGACUAAGCUGGACGUUGAGCUGUUGGAAAAGCUGGAGAUAACACUGCUGAGUCUUCAAUCUGUACUUUAUGAUGCUGAGGACAAACAGAUCACUAACCCUGCUGUCAAGAAGUGGCUGGAGAUGUUGCAAGAUGCUGUCUUUCAAGCUGACGAACUGUUCGACGAACUCAACACUGAAGCUUUAAGGUGCAAAGCUGAAGGUGGUCAGGUUCUUAAUAAGUUUUUGUCUUAUUUUAAGAGGUUUAAUAAAAAGAUCAAUUCUAAACUACAAAAAUUAUUUGGAAGAUUAGAACAUUUGAGAAGCCAAAAUCUUGGAUUGAAAGAAGGUGAUUCCAACUAUGUUAGGAAUAUAACUCCUACAAGUCCUUUUUUAGGAGAUGAAACUGCUAUUUAUGGCAGAGAUGAUGACAGAAAGAAACUUAAAGAAUUUUUGCUGUCACAGGAUGGUUGUGAUAGCGGAAAUAAAAUAGGAGUGAUUUCCAUUGUGGGUAUGGGAGGGUUAGGAAAAACAACACUAGCUAGACUCCUUUACCAUGACCUUGAUGUGAAGGAGAAGUUUGAAGUCAUAGGGUGGGCACAUAUUCCAAAAGACUUUGUUGAGGUCACAGUCACUAAAACAAUCCUUGAAUCUGUCACUCAAAAAACAAUUACAGACCCAAACUUAGUUAAACUCCAAGUUCAAUUGCAACAAAGUUUAAGUAACAAAAAGUUUUUACUAGUAUUGGAUGAUAUAGGGUAUGGAAAUUAUGUUCGUUGGAAUAGUCUAAGUGAUAUUUUUAAUGUUGGACAAAUAGGAAGUAAGAUCAUCAUCACAACUCGAGAUGCAAGAGUUACACUACCCAAGCUAAAAUCUCUCUAUCUCCACCAUUUAAGAUCUUUGAAAACUGAAGAUUCCUGGUCUUUACUAGCCAGGCAUGCAUUUGUAGUAAGAAACUACCAAGAACAUCCCGAAUAUCCCAAUCUAGAAAUAAUUGGUAGGGAAAUCGCAAAUAAGUGUGGCGGUUUACCAUUAGCCACAAUAGCAUUGGGGGGUAUUCUUCGCAUUGAAUUGUCGGAAGAUCAUUGGAGAGGGGUAUUAAACAAUAGUAUUUGGGAACAAACAAACGGUGCUCUGCUAUUGAGCUAUCGUUAUCUUUCAAGUUCUUUAAAAGGAUGCUUUGCUUAUUGCUCAAUAUUUCCAAAGAACUCAAUCUUAUGGAAAGAGAUGGUGAUUGAGUUGUGGAUUGCAGAAGGCUUUAUACCUCAGCCGAAAAGUGAGAAAAGCUGGGAAAAAGUAGCUGAAGAAUACUUUGAUGAGCUAGUGGCAAGGUCUCUAAUACUUCAACGAUCAAGUCGUGGUGGAGUAUGCUUUGAAAUGCACGACCUCAUCAAUGAUUUAGCUAUGGCAGUUUCAUCUCCCUAUUGCACUAGGUUGGACAUACAUAAGUCAGAUGAAAGGGUAGAUAAAAGAGUGCGUUACUUGUCAUUUGAAACUGAAGAAGAUAAGCCAUAUGAUAGGUUUGAAAAGUUGCAUGGAUUAAAAGGUCUACGAACCUUUUUACCCAUGCCAUUGCAAGCUUCAUGGGGGUAUGAUAAUUCCAUGUCGUGCAAGUUAUUUUUUGACUUGUUGUCCGCAAUGACACACUUACACGUGUUGUCACUUCAACAAAACGAAAACAUCACUGAGUUGCCAACCUCUAUUGGAAGUUUGAUUCACUUGCGAUACUUGAACCUCUCUGGAACUUUGAUUACAAGGCUGCCUUCUGAAACAUGCAAGCUUUACAAUUUGCAGACAUUGUUGUUGUCAAGUUGCGAGAAACUCACUGAAUUGCCAAAGGAUAUGGGGAAAUUGGUGAAACUACGCCACCUUGACAUUAGAGACACCCAAUUGAACAAAAUGCCGGCACAAAUAUCCAAAUUAGAAAAUCUACAGACAUUGUCAAACUUUAUUGUGAGCAGCGCUGGGGAUGAUGGAUUGAAGAUUGGAGAUCUUGGAAAAUAUCCCCAAUUACAAGGAAGUCUUUCCAUUUCACAACUUGAAAAUGUAACUGACCCAGUCCAUGCUUCACAAGCAAACUUGGAGAUGAAAAUAGGAAUUGACCAGUUGCAACUAAAAUGGUAUUACAAAGAUGGUUCAAACUUAACAACACAAAGUGAUGUAUUGGAACAGCUGCGUCCGUCCACAAAUUUGAAGUAUUUGACCAUCUCUGAAUAUCGUGGAAACAAAUUACCAAGUUGGUUGGGCGAUUCUUUAUUUAGCAACAUGGUGUUUUUGUCGAUCUGGCAAUGUAAAAAUUGUUCAAGUCUGCCAUCCCUCGGGAAACUACAUAAUCUAAAAGAACUCUUUAUUAGUGGAAUGCAAUCAGUAAAGAGUGUUGGCACAGAGUUCUAUGGAAGUAGUUCUCCUUUGUUUCAACCAUUUCCCUCUUUAGAGAUUCUAAGCUUUCACUAUAUGCCAAAGUGGGAGGAAUGGAAGUUGAUUGAAGGUACAUCUACGGUUUUUCCUAGUCUUAUAUGCUUGUCACUGCAUUGUUGUCCAAAACUCAAAGAAAACAUACCGAUCAACCUUCCUAGGCUUACACAUCUGUGUGUUUCACACUGUCCCGAACUCAAUGGGAUGACACUUAACAACCUUCCUUCCCUUAUUGAACUUGAGUUACAGAAUUGUCCUCUAUUGAUGGAGACAAGAAACUUAAAUGAUAUUACAAGCCCACCAUUUGACAAAUCCAGCCAAUUGAUGAUUAGUCUGAAUUCUCUUCAAAAGAUGGUCUUAACAAACAUUCCAUCUCUAACCUCCUUUCCGAGAGAUGGUCUUCCCAAAACCUUACGAUCUCUCACAAUUAGAGACUGUGAGAAUCUGGAGUUCCUUUCUCAUGAAUCUUUUCACAAUUACACAUCACUUGAGAUUUUAGAAAUAAUCAGAAGUUGCAAUUCAAUGACAUCAUUUACCUUGUGCUCUCUCCCAGUCCUCAAAAGUCUAUGUAUUCAGGGAUGUAAACAUUUACAAUCCAUUUUAAUUGCAGAAGAUUCAUCAAAACAGAAUCUCAUGUUUCUUAGAACCAUCAAUAUAUGGAAUUGCAGUGAACUGGAGUCGGUUUCGCUAAGUGGAUUGCCUAUUCCUAACCUCAUUGAUUUAACUGUGGGUUGGUGUGGGAAGUUCUGUUCUCUACCUGAAUCAAUAAAGACUCUAACUAGUCUUCAGAAAAUGUCAAUUGACGGCCUUCCAAAUCUGCAUUCGUUGCCAGAAGAGGGGGGAUUGCCUUCCUCUCUUAAAGAACUGUAUAUUUCAUGGUGUCCAUUACUAGAAGCAAGUUUGCUGAGGAAGCAGGGGAAAGAGUGGAGUAAGAUUUCUCACAUUCCCAAAAUAGUUAUAAACCACCAAAUCAUCGAAUGAGUACUACAUCAAGAAGGUAGAUUCUAAGAUUGUGGUGAUUGUAAGAGAGCAAAUUGCAAAGCUAGAGACAAAAUAAUUGCGCAUUCUGUCCAGGAAAGAAAGGUUUUAUGAACUUGGAAUAAUAUUGACUUCACAAACAAACAGAAGUGCAAGAAAGUGUUUGUAUCCCCUAUGAGGCAUUUAACCAACUGUUUCACUCUCCAAGGCUACAUGGCUGGCUAUGUGUAGAUGAAUUUUGAAUCCCAACUUUCAAAGCAUGGAAGUCUUUAAGAAAAAGUACUUUAAUGACUGGCACAUUAUAGCUGUUAGUGCGAUGAAUAUUGCUGCAAGUCGUUUCUAUUCAUUUUAAAGCCAUAUUAUGUUCCUAUAGCAGGGCUUCCUCAACUUUGAUCUGCAUGGCUUGGGAUUGUUAAUACUUUUUCAGAAGAGAAUGCUUGGAUGGAAAGUGGCUUCAACAUGGUUGCCAAAAGAGGGGAAGGUGCAUUCCUCUCUUAAAGAACUGAAAAUCGUUCGUUAUUAGAACCAAGUGUGCAGAGGAAACGAGGGAAAGUGUGGUGUGAGGUAGAUUUCUAAGUCGGUGAAGAUUCUAAGAGGGCAAUUCGCAAAGCUAGAGACAAAACAAGUGUAGUUGUUCUCUCAAACUGUUAGAUUACACCAAUCAUGUGUUUUAAUGGCCCAUUUCAAUGUUAAAGCCAAAAUGAAGACUAUUGCCUCUAGAGGAAGUAAUACACGAGGUUUAUUGCAUAUUCCGGAAAGGCGUUUGUGAAAAAUAUGUCUUGUGGUAGGAAGGAGUUCGUUAAAGAUGAAGAUUUUGGCACAUAAAUCUUGAGAGUCUGGGCAGUAUGGUCCGAAGAACUUCCAUGUUUCUGUAGAGAGAUCCUCCACAUCAGUCAAAAUUCACUCAUCCUACAUAUGACACAUUCAAGAAAGGAACAUCUCUUCCAUUCAAAGAAUUGAAGAGAGGCACUUCAACACCAUCUUUUUAUUGAUUUUGUUUAGUGAUAAGUGAAUUAGUUGCUCGACAUCAGACUCUCUGAUAAAUUGUAACUUGUAAAACAUAAGUUUGAUUAAUACAACGGAACUGCAGCUGCUCUGCAGUCGGAGACGUAGGCACAA